rnacentral:tRNA from 1 species
UUUGCAGGGGGUGGGUGGUUAGAGCGUAGGUCUCGUAACCGAAAGGUCGCGGGAUCGAAUCCCGCUAGAG